rnacentral:rRNA from 1 species
GGGGAAUAUUGCACAAUGGGGGAAACCCUGAUGCAGCGACGCCGCGUGGAGGAAGAAGGUCUUCGGAUUGUAAACUCCUGUUGUUGAGGAAGAUAAUGACGGUACUCAACAAGGAAGUGACGGCUAACUACGUGCCAGCAGCCGCGGUAAAACGUAGGUCACAAGCGUUGUCCGGAAUUACUGGGUGUAAAGGGAGCGCAGGUGGGAAGACAAGUUGGAAGUGAAAUCCAUGGGCUCAACCCAUGAACUGCUUUCAAAACUGUUUUUCUUGAGUAGUGCAGAGGUAGGCGGAAUUCCCGGUGUAGCGGUGGAAUGCGUAGAUAUCGGGAGGAACACCAGUGGCGAAGGCGGCCUACUGGGCACCAACUGACGCUGAGGCUCGAAAGUGUGGGUAGCAAACAGGAUUAGAUACCCUGGUAGUCCACACUGUAAACGAUGAUUACUAGGUGUUGGAGGAUUGACCCCUUCAGUGCCGCAGUUAACACAAUAAGUAAUCCACCUGGGGAGUACGACCGCAAGGUUGAAACUCAAAGGAAUUGACGGGGGCCCGCACAAGCAGUGGAGUAUGUGGUUUAAUUCGACGCAACGCGAAGAACCUUACCAAGUCUUGACAUCCUGCGACGCACAUAGAAAUAUGUGUUUCCUUCGGGACGCAGAGACAGGUGGUGCAUGGUUGUCGUCAGCUCGUGUCGUGAGAUGUUGGGUUAAGUCCCGCAACGAGCGCAACCCUUAUGGUCAGUUACUACGCAAGAGGACUCUGGCCAGACUGCCGUUGACAAAACGGAGGAAGGUGGGGAUGACGUCAAAUCAUCAUGCCCUUUAUGACUUGGGCUACACACGUACUACAAUGGCGUUAAACAAAGAGAAGCAAGACCGCGAGGUGGAGCAAAACUCAGAAACAACGUCCCAGUUCGGACUGCAGGCUGCAACUCGCCUGCACGAAGUCGGAAUUGCUAGUAAUCGCAGAUCAGCAUGCUGCGGUGAAUACGUUCCCG